rnacentral:rRNA from 1 species
UACGUAGGGUGCGAGCGUUGUCCGGAAUUAUUGGGCGUAAAGGGCUCGUAGGCGGUUUGUCGCGUCGGGAGUGAAAACCAGGUGCUUAACACCUGGCUUGCUUUCGAUACGGGCAGGCUAGAGUUCGGUAGGGGAGACUGGAAUUCCUGGUGUAGCGGUGAAAUGCGCAGAUAUCAGGAGGAACACCGGUGGCGAAGGCGGGUCUCUGGGCCGAUACUGACGCUGAGGAGCGAAAGCGUGGGGAGCGAACAGG